ensembl:lncRNA
CCUGGCCAAGAUAAAGCAAAGCAGUUCGACAGAUACAACGACACAGAGUUACACAUGGAGUAAAACAAACAUACAGUCAAUGAUACAGUAUAAACAAGUCUAUAUACGAUGUGAGCAAAUUAGGUGAGAAGGGAGGUAAAGGCAAAAAAGGCCAUGGUGGCAAAGUAAAUACAAUAUAUCAAGUAAAACACUGGAAUGGUAGUUUUGCAAUGGAAGAAUGUGCAAAGUAGAAAUAAAAAUAAUGGGGUGCAAAGGAGCAAAAAAAAUAAAUAAAUAAAAAUGAAAUACAGUUGGGAAAGAGGUAGUUGUUUGGGCUAAACUAUAGGUGGGCUAUGUACAGGUGCAGUAAUAACUCAUCUCCAGUGCCAGUAUGUGAAGUGAUUUCUUUCAGUGUGCAGAGGGCUUAGGUUUCCUUUCACAGGGACACUGUGAAAGUAAUUAAUGUAAAGGGAGGGGAUGGUUCCUCCACCACGCCAUGGUUCCAUGGUUCCAACUCAUGUCAAACCUGAUGUUUUCAACCGUAAUCACCAGAUGUGCAAGAACAAGUGCUCCAGUACCUUUCUCUUUACUCUCUUUCUCUUUGCUCUCUUUCUCGCUCUCCCUCAGUUUUUUCUCAGGUCUCUUUCUCUCUCAGGGCUUCCUCGGGUCUCUCUUUCUCUCUCAGGUCUCUCUCUCUCUCUCAGGGCUUCCUCAGGUCUCUCUCUCUCUCAGGGCUUCCUUAGGCCUCUCUCUCUCUCUCUCAGGGCUUCCUCAGGUCUCUCUCUCUCUCUCUCAGGGCUUCCUCAGGUCUCUCUCUCUCUCUCUCAGGGCUUCCUCAGGUCUCUCUCUCUCUCAGGGCUUCCUCAGGUCUCUCUCUCUCUCUCAGGGCUUCCUCAGGUCUCUCUCUCUCUCUCAGGGCUUCCUCAGGUCUCUCUCUCUCUCUCAGGGCUUCCUCAGGUCUCUCUCUCUCUCUCUCUCUCAGGGCUUCCUCAGGUCUCUCUCUCUCUCUCUCUCAGGGCUUCCUCAGGUCUCUCUCUCUCUCUCUCUCUCUCAGGGCUUCCUCAGGUCUCUCUCUCUCUCUCUCUCAGGGCUUCCUCAGGUCUCUCUCUCUCUCUCAGGGCUUCCUCAGGUCUCUCUCUCUCUCUCAAGGCUUCCUCAGGUCUCU